rnacentral:rRNA from 1 species
UCCCGGCAGUCCAAGUCGCAGCCAGUAUUAUUGGGUCUAAAACAUCCGUAGCUUGUUUGUUAAGUUUCUUGUGAAAUCUCGUAUCUUAAGCACGAGGCGUGCAAGAAAUACUGACAGACUAGAGACCGGAAGAUGUAAGGAGUAUGUCUGAGGUAGUGGUAAAAUACGUUAAUCUUGGGCAGACUAACAAUUGGCGAAGGCACCUUACAAGCACGGAUCUGACAGUGAGGGAUGAAGGCUAGGGG